rnacentral:rRNA from 1 species
ACACAUGCAGUCGAGCGGUAGAGAGAAGCUUGCUUCUCUUGAGAGCGGCGGACGGGUGAGUAAUGCCUAGGAAUCUGCCUGGUAGUGGGGGAUAACGUUCGGAAACGGACGCUAAUACCGCAUACGUCCUACGGGAGAAAGCAGGGGACCUUCGGGCCUUGCGCUAUCAGAUGAGCCUAGGUCGGAUUAGCUAGUUGGUGGGGUAAUGGCUCACCAAGGCGACGAUCCGUAACUGGUCUGAGAGGAUGAUCAGUCACACUGGAACUGAGACACGGUCCAGACUCCUACGGGAGGCAGCAGUGGGGAAUAUUGGACAAUGGGCGAAAGCCUGAUCCAGCCAUGCCGCGUGUGUGAAGAAGGUCUUCGGAUUGUAAAGCACUUUAAGUUGGGAGGAAGGGCAGUUGCCUAAUACGUAACUGUUUUGACGUUACCGACAGAAUAAGCACCGGCUAACUCUGUGCCAGCAGCCGCGGUAAUACAGAGGGUGCAAGCGUUAAUCGGAAUUACUGGGCGUAAAGCGCGCGUAGGUGGUUUGUUAAGUUGGAUGUGAAAUCCCCGGGCUCAACCUGGGAACUGCAUUCAAAACUGACUGACUAGAGUAUGGUAGAGGGUGGUGGAAUUUCCUGUGUAGCGGUGAAAUGCGUAGAUAUAGGAAGGAACACCAGUGGCGAAAGCGACCACCUGGACUAAUACUGACACUGAGUGCGAAAGCGUGGGGAGCAAACAGGA